rnacentral:rRNA from 1 species
GACGAACGUUGGCGGCGUGCCUAAUACAUGCAAGUAGAACGCUGAAGAGAGGAGCUUACUCUUCUUGGAUGAGUUGCGAACGGGUGAGUAACGCGUAGGUAACCUGCCUUGUAGCGGGGGAUAACUAUUGGAAACGAUAGCUAAUACCGCAUAACAAUGGAUGACACAUGUCAUUUAUUUGAAAGGGGCAAUUGCUCCACUACAAGAUGGACCUGCGUUGUAUUAGCUAGUAGGUGAGGUAAUGGCUCACCUAGGCGACGAUACAUAGCCGACCUGAGAGGGUGAUCGGCCACACUGGGACUGAGACACGGCCCAGACUCCUACGGGAGGCAGCAGUAGGGAAUCUUCGGCAAUGGGGGCAACCCUGACCGAGCAACGCCGCGUGAGUGAAGAAGGUUUUCGGAUCGUAAAGCUCUGUUGUAAGUCAAGAACGGGUGUGAGAGUGGAAAGUUCACACUGUGACGGUAGCUUACCAGAAAGGGACGGCUAACUACGUG